rnacentral:rRNA from 1 species
AACGAACGCUGGCGGCAUGCCUAACACAUGCAAGUCGAACGAGACCUUCGGGUCUAGUGGCGCACGGGUGCGUAACGCGUGGGAACCUGCCCUUAGGUUCGGAAUAACUCCCCGAAAGGGGUGCUAGUACCGGAUAAUGUCUUCGGACCAAAGAUUUAUCGCCUUUGGAUGGGCCCGCGUUGGAUUAGCUAGUUGGUAGGGUAAAAGCCUACCAAGGCGACGAUCCAUAGCUGGUCUGAGAGGAUGAUCAGCCACACUGGGACUGAGACACGGCCCAGACUCCUACGGGAGGCAGCAGUGGGGAAUAUUGGACAAUGGGCGAAAGCCUGAUCCAGCAAUGCCGCGUGAGUGAUGAAGGCCUUAGGGUUGUAAAGCUCUUUUACCCGGGAUGAUAAUGACAGUACCGGGAGAAUAAGCUCCGGCUAACUCCGU